rnacentral:pre_miRNA from 1 species
UCUGCUCGCUAGAUGUAAGUUGGAAGUUUUGAAGUCCUAUUUACAUUAGUAGGCAGAGA